rnacentral:pre_miRNA from 3 species
UCUUAUGGAUGAGCAAAGGAAGUGGUUUCUUGAGAUGGAAACUACUCUCAGUGAAGAUGCUGUGAA